rnacentral:rRNA from 1 species
UACGUAGGCAGCAAGCGUUGUUCGGAAUUACUGGGCGUAAAGAGUGUGUAGGCGGUGUUCUAAGUCUGUUGUGAAAUCUCCCGGCUUAACUGGGAGGGUGCGGCGGAAACUGGAAUGCUAGAGGAUGGGAGAGGUAAGCGGAAUUCCUGGUGUAGCGGUGAAAUGCGUAGAUAUCAGGAGGAACACCUGUGGUGUAGACAGCUUACUGGACCAUAACUGACGCUGAGGCACGAAAGCGUGGGUAACAAACAGG